rnacentral:lncRNA from 1 species
CCCAGGUUCAGCCUUUUUAGUACCAUUAUCUUAUAAUUGCUGAUUGGCACAGGGUUCUGCUUGCUGUUCCCAAGGGGGGUCAGCAGUAUGUGUGGCUCAGUGGCAGGGACUCCUAGGCAGCGAUUUAUGCAGUGGUUUUGAUAGAUGGAAAAAAGCAGUAAGAAUUUAUUAGCCCAGUAUCAUUGUUGGGAGGCAGGAGGAGGGCUGGAGAAAACGAAUUCCCUUGCCAACAAAUGAAAAGAAUAAAACUGGAAUAAGAUGAGUGGCAAUUCAGAGACGAUAAUAUACUCUAGGAAAAAGAUUCUCCAAAUCAUUACACAGGUUAACUCUCCCCCACCUGCCCACCAGUCACAGGAUUCAAACAUCAGGCCUCAAAUUAUGCUGAGAAUAAAUGGAGAUAAACAGCAAACCCAAGGAGACAAAUAAGACGAACACCUUGAAAAGGAACCAGUAAGUGAAAUAGGAUGUGACAGGCUCAGGAAGAUGAGAGGGAAUGAUUUCCUGGAAUGCAGCAGCAAUUUCGUGCCAGCAGCGAUGCGCCAGCUGUACUUGACCUUCAGUAACCUUUAUCCCCGUCUCCUACUGCUGCUCCUACAGCUUCUCAGCCUGGUUCUCCUCCUCCACUCUGGUGGUGUUCCUGGGAAGAAGGUCCAUAGUCCACAUCCAGCUCCUCCAAAAGUCGUCUCCUCCUCUCAGGAGCAUCUUGCCUGUUUGGCUGGCAGAUCCACUGUUUGGAGAAAUGCAGCUGUCAGGGGAGGCUGUGAUCAGAGAAGGGGAAGGAGGUCUCUCAGGUAGAUGGGGCCAGUCCUGCAGCGCACUUCAAAUUUCAGGGUAGUGACCUUGAACUCGUCUCCACUCUGCAGGGAGCCCUGCACAGGAAGCCAGAGCGCUGGGGUGAAGUGUUUGCUGUGACCUGCACUGCUGAUCAGGUGAACUGUUAUGUAUAGCAACAUUUGGUAUUUUUGCAGGAUCCAUAACUUCGCUCCUAGAUCUUAUUUGAAAUGGUGGAACUGUCACAUGGUUUGUUAUUUCAUCAGACCUAAUAAUUUAUUAAAGGUAAAUGAAUGUUGUGGCUUUUCCCCUCCCUAAUUUAUUCUACCUUCACCUAAGCACAGGAACUUUUUGUAUGGCCUAUAGUAGAUUAAUUUCUUCCAGCUGGUGGGAAGUAAUUCAUUUAUACCAUCUAAAAUCCUAUUUUUAAGUAUCCUAGAGUAUUAGAGUUUAGUAAACCUGUAUGCUAGGGAAACAUCAUAUUAGGAGUACACCAAUGCCUGUCUCUGUUAAGAUGAAGUUAUUUUUUGAAAUACAGCUGGUGUGAGAGUGUUUUUCUGGUUUUGUUGUGAAACUCCAGUGUGCUCUCUCCAAAUUCAUUAUUGUUUUGUGCUCAAAUGAGGCCACAGGAUAAAGUUAGUCUCAUGGAUCCUGCCAAAGGUCCCCAAAAACCUGCAGCCUCACUGUGUAAAGUGCUGAUCUGGUACAAGCUCAUUCUGCUGCUCCUCUUCCUUCCAGCAUCAUUGAUGGGUUAACAUUACAUGGCAGAUUUUAGGCUGGAACAGAUGUCACCUUUUGUCUCCAAGCUGAUCUCAGCUCAAAAAUAUGCCACCAACUCUGUUCUGCAGGCUUUGAUGAGCUGCAUAAAAAAAAUAUUUACCUGGCCUAGUCUGGCUUGAAUUUUGCCUCCUGUGGGCUGCAGCAGAGCAGUGAUGUGACAUUAAUGACCAAGGGUGGUAGAGCAGCCUGGCUACUGGCAGGAGACUCACCAGCUGUGGUGCUGUGGCUUGCCUGACAGCACCAA